rnacentral:rRNA from 1 species
UACGUAGGGGGCUAGCGUUGUCCGGAAUCAUUGGGCGUAAAGAGCGUGUAGGCGGCCUGGAAGGUCAGCUGUGAAAACUCGAGGCUCAACCUCGAGACGUCGGUUGAAACCAUCUGGCUAGAGUCCGGAAGAGGAGAGUGGAAUUCCCGGUGUAGCGGUGAAAUGCGCAGAUAUCGGGAAGAACACCCGUGGCGAAGGCGGCUCUCUGGGACGGUACUGACGCUGAGACGCGAAAGCGUGGGGAGCGAACAGGA